GGGCGGAGCGAGGCCUCCAAUGAGGGCCAGGGAAGGGAGCCGUGGGCGGAGCCGGGUGCGCCGCUGUCCAAUGGCGACGAACGAGUCGAGGGAGGGAGUCGAGGCACGAGAGCUGGGAGAAGUCGGGGACGGCCAAAGAGUCCGGAGUCGGGCUGGAGAGUCGGUGGGUGGAAGCGUUGUGGCUUGUCUCGUGCUCUCUCUGGCGCCCGUUAUAGGAGCUGCGUAGUCGCCGCCGCCGCCGCCGUCGUUGUUGUUGCCGGGGUGCGCGCGCGCGCGCCGCCGCCGCCACCGCCGAAGGGAAAGAGAGAGAGAGAAAAAAAAAGACAGAGAAGAAGGACCGAGGACUUCUUAGAGGGAGCGGUCGAAGCAGGCAGGCGGCCGGCACCGUGAGGAGAGAGAGGCGCUUCCUCACAGGGGCGAGGAGGGAGACGAGCGAACGAGGAAAGGAGCGGGAAGCUGCCUGGAGUAGCAGAAGUUUGGCCGGAGCCGCCGCUGCCGCUGUGAGGAAACUUUUCUUGAGGGGCCGGAGAAGGCGGCGGCGGCUGAGGCGGCGGCCCCCUCCCCUCCCCUUCCCUCCGCAGUUGGGUCUGGGUCGCUUUGCCCCCUGCAGGACCCGAGGACUGCGUUGGCGGACAGCCGGGGCUGCUUCUUCGGCCCUGGCCAGGAUGUACCUGGCAAUGGUCUCCGCGGGUCGGAGGCGCCGGGGCGGCGGCGGCCGGCCUUGGUCGGUGGGGUGGCUACUGUUUCUGGCGCUGCUGCUCUUAGGGGAGACCGGGACGCGGGCCUUCGUCUGCCUGCCUUGCGACGAGUCCAGGUGUGAGGAACCCAAGAACUGCCCCGGCGGCGUCGUGCUGGACAUCUGUGGCUGCUGCUUCAUGUGCGCCCGGCAACGCAACGAGAGUUGCGGGGGGUUCUUCGGGCUCCACGGCGCCUGCGACCGCGGGCUGCGCUGUGUGAUCCGCCCUCCGCUCAGCGGGGACUCGCUCACGGAGUACGAAGCGGGCGUCUGUGAAGAUGAAAACUGGGAUGAUCAGCUACUUGGAUUUGAGCCUUGCAAUGAAAACCUCAUAACAGGCUGCAAUAUAAUCAAUGGAAAAUGCGAGUGUGAUACUAUUAGGACCUGUAGUAAUCCCUUUGAGUUUCCAAGCCGGGAUACUUGCCUGUCAGCUUUAAAAAGGAUUGAAGACUCUUUUGGUUGAAGUCAGUUGGGCUGCGAGGCAUUCUAUGGCUACUUUUGUUUUAAUGAAUUAAUGAACUUCCAUGGAAAUACUUGUGGAGCCAUUACGCUUAGUAUAAGGACUCAGUUGUAGGCUGAAGGAAGAGGAAGACCACUGUUAAAAGAACUGCUGGUCUUCGCCCCUCCCCUACAACCUGGCUUUAGUGUGGGACCUCUCCCACUUUGCCGAGGACAUCUUAGCUGGAUCCAUAGUGGGGAGGAGCAGCAUCAGCAGUUCUGAGG